rnacentral:misc_RNA from 1 species
CAGUUGAACUGCCUCACGGUAGUCUUUACCUAUUCCAAACCUCUGUGCAUUUACGUGACCUUCGCGUCAGGCCUACUUUUACAAACAUGAUUGUAAUGAACGUCAUAUAUCAGUCACAAAC